rnacentral:rRNA from 1 species
UACGUAGGGUGCGAGCGUUAAUCGGAAUUACUGGGCGUAAAGCGUGCGCAGGCGGUGAUGUAAGACAGUUGUGAAAUCCCCGGGCUCAACCUGGGAACUGCAUCUGUGACUGCAUCGCUGGAGUGCGGCAGAGGGGGAUGGAAUUCCGCGUGUAGCAGUGAAAUGCGUAGAUAUGCGGAGGAACACCGAUGGCGAAGGCAAUCCCCUGGGCCAACACUGACGCUCAUGCACGAAAGCGUGGGGAGCAAACAGG